rnacentral:rRNA from 1 species
UACGAAGGGGGCUAGCGUUGUUCGGAAUUACUGGGCGUAAAGCGCGCGCAGGCGGCUAUCCAAGUCAGUGGUGAGAGCCCGGAGCUCAACUCCGGAACUGCCAUUGAAACUGUUUAGCUUGAGGACGAGAGAGGUGAGUGGAAUUCCCAGUGUAGAGGUGAAAUUCGUAGAUAUUGGGAAGAACACCGGUGGCGAAGGCGGCUCACUGGCUCGUUUCUGACGCUCAGGCGCGAUAGCGUGGGGAUCAAACAGG